rnacentral:rRNA from 1 species
GGGCCCGCACAAGCGGUGGAGCAUGUGGUUUAAUUCGAUGAUACGCGAGGAACCUUACCAGGACUUAAAUGUAAGUUGCAUGAUUCAGAAAUGAAUCUUUCUUCGGACUACUUACAAGGUGCUGCAUGGUUGUCGUCAGCUCGUGCCGUGAGGUGUCAGGUUAAGUCCUAUAACGAGCGCAACCCUCACUUUUAGUUGCCAUCAUUAAGUUGGGCACUCUGAAAGAACUGCCAGUGAUAAGCUGGAGGAAGGUGGGGAUGACGUCAAAUCAUCACGGCCCUUACGUUCUGGGCUACACACGUGCUACAAUGGUCGGUACAGAAAGCAGCCACUAUGCGAAUAGGAGCUAAUCUUUAAAACCGAUCUCAGUUCGGAUCGCAGUCUGCAACUCGACUGCGUGAAGCUGGAAUCGCUAGUAAUCGGAUAU